UAAAAAAAAAAGUACAAAUCUAAAUACAAUUGGAUUAGAUUCGCUUAACCUUAGGGGAAACCUAUUUAAUCUCGUCCAGCUCUGGACCACAUCAACAUUCGUAAUCAUGAGGUUGAUGUGCUUGGUUGUUAUGACUAUUCUGGCUAUGGUUAACUUAGGAGACGCACUGGAGUUACGACCCAGAGGAAAAGCGCCCGGCGGAUGUCGUGGGGUCUGUGGUGGGUAAUUUACCCAGCUGAAAAACAGAGAUGAGAACAAUAUGUUAAAUUUUAUUCAAAAUUUCUGAGACGACAACCAUCCCUGGAAUUAAAACGUUUCGCCGGCGCUGUUUGCCUGUAAAAGUAGUAAAAUCACGAUUUUGCAGAAACCAAAUUGCUGACGAGUUUUGAAGAAAAAAAAUAUACAAGUAAAACAAAAUUAAUAAAAUGUAAUUAAACAAAAUAAACAAAAGCAAAGGACAUAUAUUAAA